rnacentral:rRNA from 1 species
AUACGUAGGUGACAAGCGUUAUCCGGAUUUACUGGGCGUAAAGGGCGUGUAGGCGGUCUUGCAAGUCAGAAGUGAAAUUCCUGAGCUCAACUCGGGCGCUGCUUCUGAAACUGCAGGACUUGAGUGCUGGAGGGGAUAGCGGAAUUCCUAGUGGAGCGGUAAAAUGCGCAGAUAUUAGGAAGAACACCGGUGGCGAAGGCGGCUAUCUGGCCAGUAACUGACGUUGAGGCGCGAAAGCGUGGGGAGCAAACUGGAUUAGAUCCCCUGGUAGUCCACGCUGUAAACGAUGAAUACUAGGUGUAGGGGGUAUCGACUCCCUCUGUGCCGCAGUUAACACAAUAAGUACUCCGCCUGGGAAGUACGCUCGCAAGAGUGAAACUCAAAUGAAUUGGCGGGG